GUGCAAAGCAAAAUGGGUUUUUAGCAUGAUGCCGGUUGUGCUGCAGCAACACCCACUGCCCAUGAACGGUCUCGUCUCCUCUUUUAUAACAGCAGUAUCCGUCGCGGGAAUCGGUAUCGUCGGUGUCGCUAUGAUGCCAUGUGUCGUGACGAGGUGGAUGAAUUGGCGAUCAGAGACAAGGUGUAUCCCACGUGCGCACGUGUCUAGGUCAGGAUUGCGCACAACUUCGGUGUGCUCGGUCUCCAGGAAGCUGGCGCAUGGCAUUAGCUGGCAGCAAAACAAGGCAGCCGCAACCUGUAGUGCAAAGCAGAAUGGUUUUUUUGUAUGAUACCGGAUGUGCUGCUGCAACACCCACUGCCGAUAAACGGUCUCGUCUACUCUUUUGUAACAGCAGUAUCCGUCACGCG